GGUAGUGUGGCCGAGAGGUCCAAGGUGCUGGAUUUUAAGUACCAGUCUUUUUGGGGGGUGUGGGUUCAAAUCCCACUAUUGCCA